AUUGAACGCUGGCGGCAUGCUUUACACAUGCAAGUCGAACGGCAGCGCGGGCUUCGGCCUGGCGGCGAGUGGCGAACGGGUGAGAAUGCAUCGGAACGUGCCCAGUAGUGGGGGAUAGCCCGGCGAAAGCCGGAUUAAUACCGCAUACGACCUGAGGGUGAAAGCGGGGGACCGAAAGGCCUCGCGCUAUUGGAGCGGCCGAUGUCGGAUUAGCUAGUUGGUGGGGUAAAGGCUUACCAAGGCGACGAUCCGUAGCUGGUCUGAGAGGACGACCAGCCACACUGGGACUGAGACACGGCCCAGACUCCUACGGGAGGCAGCAGUGGGGAAUUUUGGACAAUGGGGGCAACCCUGAUCCAGCCAUGCCGCGUGCGGGAAGAAGGCCUUCGGGUUGUAAACCGCUUUUGUUCGGGAAGAAAUCCUCUGGGCUAAUACCCCGGGGGGAUGACGGUACCGGAAGAAUAAGCACCGGCUAACUACGUG
rnacentral:rRNA from 1 species